AACGAACGCUGGCGGCAUGCCUAACACAUGCCAGUCGAACGAGACCUUCGGGUCUAGUGGCGCACGGGUGCGUAACGCGUGGGAACCUGCCCUUAGGUUCGGAAUAACUCCCCGAAAGGGAUGCUAAUACCGGAUAAUGUCUUCGGACCAAAGAUUUAUCGCCUUUGGAUGGGCCCGCGUUGGAUUAGCUAGUUGGUAGGGUAAAAGCCUACCAAGGCGACGAUCCAUAGCUGGUCUGAGAGGAUGAUCAGCCACACUGGGACUGAGACACGGCCCAGACUCCUACGGGAGGCAGCAGUGGGGAAUAUUGGACAAUGGGCGAAAGCCUGAUCCAGCAAUGCCGCGUGAGUGAUGAAGGCCUUAGGGUUGUAAAGCUCUUUUACCCGGGAUGAUAAUGACAGUACCGGGAGAAUAAGCUCCGGCUAACUCCGUG
rnacentral:rRNA from 1 species